rnacentral:rRNA from 1 species
CUACGGGAUGCUCCAGUGGGGAAUAUUGGACAAUGGACGAAAGUCCGAUCCAGCGACACCGCGUGGGGGAUGAAGGCUUUCGGGUUGUAAACCCCUUUUCUGGAGGAAGAAUAAGGUUGGGAGGAAAUGCCCAUCCGAUGACGGUACUCCAGGAAUAAGCAUCGGCAAACUUCGUGCCAGCAGCCGCGGUAAGGCGAAGGAUGCGAGCGUUAUCGGAAUUACUGGGCGUAAAGGACGUCUAGGCGGUUGGAUAAGUCAUUUGUGAAAUCCCAGGGCUUAACCCUGGAAGGUCUUGUGAUACUGUUCGGCUUGGGUGUAGGAGAGGAGAGCGGAACUCACAGAGUAGCGGUGGAAUGCGUAGAUACCGUGAGGUACCCCGAUGGCGAAGGCAGCUCUCUGGCCUACUACCGACGCUGAAGCGUGAAAGCGUGGGGAGCAAAGGGGAUUAGAUACCCCCGUAGUC